ensembl:lncRNA
UGGUGGGUGGAAAAGCAGAGGAUCUGAGAAAAUAGGGAGGAGAAAACCAUUGAAGGAGUGGUAGAGGGGAUGGAAAAUUUCACCAGAACAAGUGGACAAAGAAUUUCAAGAAAUUAAACGAGCCCUUUAGAGAAACCCAGUAAAGAAGGGAAGCUAACGCCCAGCGGAAACGUACCAGUCCAGCUCCCCUGUGAUCCUGGCGAUCAGCCUGGCUUGGAGCCAUUCUCCUAGGCGACCUGCCCCGCUUGGGUGGAGUUUGGCGGUGAGGAGGCUUGAUGGUGGUAGAAGAAAAUUCCGCAAGGUGCCUGAAGAAAAAAGCCUUCACCUGGGAUGGCGUUGGGGCUAGCCUAUUACUAAACGCCCUGCAGACUCAGUAACUUCCAGAGAAGUCUCCGCUGUGGCCCAGACCAAAGAAAAACAAGGGAGAAGAAACGCAAAAGAGCCAACAAAAGGAAGAGAGACAACAAAUCGAGGCCGACCUGAUGGAGUGGAAGAGUGAACCGGCCCUUGAGGUCGGAGGCCUAGGAUGCCCAGCGAGGGGGGCGUGGGGGGCGGGGGACUCGUCCUGAAGGGAGUUACCUUCAGCACAGCCCAGCUCCACCUGUGCCUGGACUUGAUUCCCCACCCCACCCCACUCCCCCCGCAGCACUUCCCCUAAGUGGCUCUAUCCCUUCUGCACAUGCUCUGUCUGCUCAUAGCUAGCAAUCUGGGAAAUGUUGCCUAGCCUUCAGAGGACAAAACCAGAAAGCGGGUUUGGUCUUUCGUGGCUGAGUCCUUGGCCCUUGCUGCUCCCAGGCAGCCCUCUCCCGAGCGCCCGAAUGACAGCCCCUGCACCCUCCACCCCACUUCGCACUCCUUGGCCUCCCAUUCGCAGGGCUGGGAUUUUCUGGCACAGCGGGACAAAGUCCGGGGGGCAGCCUGCGCUGCCGGAGACCAGCGGCAGGUGCGACCAGGUACUGAUAUGGAAUCCUGAACGUAAGAAAACUUGUUCUCGAAGGCUUGCUGGGUUAGCCAGAAGUGGACCAAGCCCUGAGAGUUUUGGAGACUGAGCAAUUUUUGGACAAUGAGACCAAGAUCAAAUGUUAAAGGUGUGCAAAGGAAAUGCUGAACUGAGAAGUGGAAAAGAGAAUCAGAUCCAUCCCCCAACUCCAGACAGGAGAUGUGCCAUUGCCAUUUCACAAUUAAAGCAGAAAGGCUUCGUUAAAUGCCCAAGGUCAAAUGUCCAAUAAAUGAGACAAGAACCCUGAUUGGGUGGAGUGUCCUUUUUCUUUUGCUGUGCUGCUUCAAAGUAC